rnacentral:rRNA from 1 species
AGUGAACGCUGGCGGUAGGCCUAACACAUGCAAGUCGAACGGCAGCACAGUAAGAGCUUGCUCUUACGGGUGGCGAGUGGCGGACGGGUGAGGAAUACAUCGGAAUCUACUUUUUCGUGGGGGAUAACGUAGGGAAACUUACGCUAAUACCGCAUACGACCUACGGGUGAAAGCAGGGGAUCUUCGGACCUUGCGCGAUUGCAUGAGCCGAUGUCGGAUUAGCUAGUUGGCGGGGUAAAGGCCCACCAAGGCGACGAUCCGUAGCUGGUCUGAGAGGAUGAUCAGCCACACUGGAACUGAGACACGGUCCAGACUCCUACGGGAGGCAGAAGUGGGGAAUAUUGGACAAUGGGCGCAAGCCUGAUCCAGCCAUACCGCGUGGGUGAAGAAGGCCUUCGGGUUGUAAAGCCCUUUUGUUGGGAAAGAAAAGCAGCAGGUUAAUACCCCGCUGUUCUGACGGUACCCAAAGAAUAAGCACCGGCUAACUUCGUG